rnacentral:misc_RNA from 1 species
CCCCAUAAUGGAAGUUGAGAUCAAGUGCCCAUUUUGUCAAAGUGGAUUUGUAGAAGAAAUGAGUAGUAGUGCAAGGGAAAAUGAGGAGCCUGAUUCUGAUUUCAAUUCUGAUCGUGCACUCUCCCUUUGGGCCCCAGUCUUGCUUGGAAUGAUGGGAAAUCCUCGUUUACGUAGAAGAUUAAGAAGAAUGGAGUUUGAAGAAGAUGGCGAUGACAGCGAUGAUGGUGAGGCACACCAUGGAGGAGAAAGUGAAUUAGACCGUGAGAUUGAAUCAGUCAUGAGAAGAAGAAGAAGAAGAGAUUCAGCUACAAUGGUACAAUUGCUUCAAGGAAUUCGAG